AGGUUGUGUUUGGAAGGGAGAGUUUGAUCUUCCAUUUGUGUUAAGUUUUGGAGGAAUGCAAUAGUCUGUAAUGCUGCUGGGCAUGCAUCCCUUACACCUUUCAUGUAUUUGCUUUGUUUAAGAAGUGAAGUUAAGAUAAGUUAAUGA